GCGGGGCGGGGCGGGCG
rnacentral:miRNA from 1 species